AUUGAACGCUAGCGGGAUGCCUUACACAUGCAAGUCGAACGGAGUGGCGAACGGGUGAGUAAUGUAUCGGAACGUGCCCAGUAGCGGGGGAUAACUACGCGAAAGCGUAGCUAAUACCGCAUACUAUUGGAGCGGCCGAUAUCGGAUUAGCUAGUUGGUGGGGUAACGGCGCACCAAGGCGACGAUCGUUAGCUGGUUUGAGAGGACGACCAGCCACACUGGGACUGAUACACGGCCCAGACGCUUACGUGAGGCAGCAGUUGGGAAUUUUGGACAAUGGGGGAAACGAUGAUCCAGCCAGCCCGCGUGGGCGAUGAAGGCCUUCUGGUUGUAAAGCACUUUUGGCAGGAAAGCGGUACCUGCAGAAUAAGCACCGGCUAACUACGUGCCAGCAGCCGCGGUAAUUC
rnacentral:rRNA from 1 species